rnacentral:rRNA from 1 species
UACGUAGGGGGCAAGCGUUGUCCGGAAUCAUUGGGCGUAAAGCGCGUGUAGGCGGCUCGGAAAGUCUGGUGUGAAAACUUGAGGCUCAACCUCAAGGGUGUCGCUGGAUACUAUCGAGCUUGAAUCCGGAAGAGGAGAGUGGAAUUCCUGGUGUAGCGGUGGAAUGCGCAGAUAUCAGGAGGAACACCAAUGGCGAAGGCAGCUCUCUGGUACGUGACUGACGCUGAGACGCGAAAAGCGUGGGGAGCGAACAGG